AUACGGAGGAUGCGAGCGUUAUCCGGAUUUAUUGGGUUUAAAGGGUGCGUAGGCGGGUUUCCAAGUCAGGGGUGAAAUCCCGGAGCCUAACUCCGGAACUGCCUUUGAUACUGGGAGUCUUGAAUGCGGAUGCCGUGGGAGGAAUGAGUAGUGUAGCGGUGAAAUGCAUAGAUAUUACUCAGAACACCGAUUGCGAAGGCAUCUCACGAAUCCGCGAUUGACGCUGAGGCACGAAAGCGUGGGGAUCAAACAGGAUUAGAUACCCUGGUAGUCCACGCAGUAAACGAUGAUGACUAACCGUCGGCGAUACACAGUCGGUGGCCAAGCGAAAGCGAUAAGUCAUCCACCUGGGGAGUACGACCGCAAGGUUGAAACUUAAAGGAAUUGACGGGG
rnacentral:rRNA from 1 species